rnacentral:tRNA from 1 species
GUUAAGAUGGUCAAGUUCGUCUAAGGUGCCAGUUUUAGGUACAGGUUUGAAAAGGGAUGGGUUCAAAUCCCAUUCUUGACA